rnacentral:rRNA from 1 species
UCUCCUACGGGGGGCAGCAGUGGGGAAUAUUGGGCAAUGGGCGCAAGCCUGACCCAGCAACGCCGCGUGAAGGAAGAAGGCCCUCGGGUUGUAAACUUCUUUUGUCAGGGACGAAGCAAGUGACGGUACCUGACGAAUAAGCCACGGCUAACUACGUGCCAGCAGCCGCGGUAAUACGUAGGUGGCAAGCGUUAUCCGGAUUUACUGGGUGUAAGGGGCGUGUAGGCGGGGAAGCAAGACAGGUGUGAAAUUCCAGG